rnacentral:rRNA from 1 species
UACGAAGGGGGCUAGCGUUGUUCGGAAUUACUGGGCGUAAAGCGCAUGUAGGCGGAUCUAUAAGUCAGAGGUGAAAUCCCCGGGCUCAACCCUGGAAUUGCCUCUGAUACUGUGGAUCUGGAGUUCGGGAGAGGUGAGUGGAAUUCCGAGUGUAGAGGUGAAAUUCGUAGAUAUUCGGAAGAACACCAGUGGCGAAGGCGACUCACUGGCCAGUUAUUGACGCUGAGUUGCGAAAGCGUGGGGAGCAAACAGG